ACUAGUUCUAUGUUUUUGUGUUAUUAUAAAUCAUUCGGCGUGUGUUUUUAUGACAUGCGAUGACAUUUUUAAAUAGAAGUUUAAACUUACCUCUGCGUGAGAGAGAGCCAGGGCUAACAGGAGCACGGCGACACCCCGCAACAUCUGGUGGUUGGAAUGGGGGGGGGUCAGAUUUAAGCAGCAAGAAAUAAAAUUUAAGCGUUUUUACGUAUUCAAAAUCGCUUUAAAGUGGUGUAAAAAUCAGACGAGUUGAGUCGUCGUCGCUGUUACUUUACCGUUAAGUCGAGAGCGGCUCGGAUGGGUGAGGAAGAGAAGUGGACCAGAGAGGAGGUUUCGACGACGGCUUGGAGGAAAUUUGAGGAGGUUUGAGGAAUUCGAGUUGGUCUUCGGCGUUUUCUCCUCCUCUCCCCCUGAAAGGACCAAUGGAAAUGUUUCUUUUCCCCUUCUGGGGACACUCACAGAGAAGCAAGCAGAGAAGGGAUGUGUGGAUGUAAGCGCGCAUAUACACUACAUGACAAUUAAAUGGGCGUACAGUAAAUUAUGUAUUUUAACAUUCAUACAAAUAUUUACAUAUAAACAUCACCGUGACACGACAUUUGUUAUGCUACACUAUCUUCGCAUGACGUUACACGUUUAAAAGUAAAACAUAUCUUCAGUUAAGUACUACCUGGAAAAUGUUCAGUUCAACUCUGGAGCUCCCCUAGUGGUGAGGAUGAAAUAUAACAUAACCGUGACGGUUACGGUUAAAUGUUUCUGCAACAAUAUAUAUUUAGCGACAUGCUGAUACACAGAAACUGUUCUGAAACGACCCAUGAUCCUUCUCGCUCAGUCCACCAAUAACAGACAAGAGAGAAGAAAUACUCUCCUCGGGACUCAGUGGAGCCUGGAAAACGAAACAACGGAUUAGCGUUUAGCUCACAUUGACUUCAUAGGUGACCAGUCCAGGGUGUACCCCGCCUCUCGCACGAAGACAGCUGGGAUAAGCUCCAGCACCCUCCCUCGACCCUCGUGAGGAUAAGCGGUACAAAAUGAAUGACUGAAUUCCAGAAUUUUCCACCCCUUUCCCAGGAAAGCAGCAUAACGAGGCCGGAGGAGAGCGAGCUUGAGAGACGAAGCUUGAAUUGUUCUCCCCAAAGACGAAGGAAGUGGAAGGACAACUUCCUCUCUGAGCGCCACCAGAUAGCAGCAGUGUCCCUGGAAGCCCAUGGCGGGAUGGACGCUGCGCUGAAGUAUGGACGUCCAGCAUCCUUGUGAGCAGCCAUGGAGAAAGAACGACUGAACAAAUGCAGGAAGAAGGAUAUCUACCAGAAGCUACAUGAAGAAAGAUGGGGAUUUGGUGUGUUCUUUCAUUCUUGUGUACGUGUUAUGUGUGUGUUUGUGUGUGUGUGUGUGUGUUUUCAUGUGCUGGUCAUACGUGGCUAGAAACAAACAAGGAAUGAAAGGUGGACAUUGUUCCUGACUCGAAUGGCAGCUAGCGGGCAACAUAUGACAAGUCAACAUUUCUAAUGCCGCCGCAGAAAAAAAAAAACAUUAAUCUCGAUUUUGGAGUGUUUUAUGACUUCCUGGUUGUCCAGGGCCAUUGUUCACGAUGCUCAUUAAUCUAACACCUUUGCUCCGAGUAUGAAGUGAUCACUCUAGCCACUGAUAACAUUGUCUUUAAAGCCAACUCCACGAAGGCAGGGAAGCCAACAGCAUUGAAUCAUCCAAAAACGGUCAGAGCCAGCAGGGGACCUACUACGCUUUUUCCACUUUUCUGACCUCCAAAUGUAGCUAGAAUGCUCUACUCUCCUGUUAAACCAAGCCAAAGUUCCACAUAAUCAUAAUGUUUGCACAUUCGGAAGUGAGCCCUGAAACGACUUCCUUAUAUGGGCAUGAGUGACCAAUCACAGCGCAGUGGGUGUACCCAGAGGUGGGACCGUUUUGGAACUACAGCUGGAAAAGGUGUAGAUUCUGGAAGAUCUAAGAUCUUUCUGUGCGGGUUAUUGUGUGCAGCUGCUCUACAGGAGUCCACAUCUCAAUACCAAUUUGGUCACGGAAGCCCAGCACUAAUGUUCAGUAAUCUUAAGACGCACUUCCUACAACCCCCAAUGCCCAAUACCUGAGUUUCUAUAGUAUUAGUAUAGUAUAGUAUUAGUAUAGUAUAGUAUUGUCCCUUGAGAAGAUAGCGUGUGCUGACUUAUGCACCAUUCAUGCAUCUCCACCCCCUUUCCAGUUCUCCCCGCCUGGGCCAACUAUGUCACUCAGCCCGGGGGGUCAAAGGUCAGCCGGUAAGAAUAGCAUCCAUCCACAAAGAGUGUUUAAAACAACAGAUGGAUUCCCGAGCGUCAGGAGUCCAAAAUACACAUCCAUCCACCGACCACAACACCAUCCUCGGACAAUCCUUCACCUGUUCCCAUAAAGCUGCGGGAUUCUAUAACCAGCAAAGAGCUCCACUGGUCAUUUACUGUUACAGUGACCACCUCCAUACCUCCAUUCCUCCAUUCCUCCGCCUGUCAGCAAACACGUAAUAAGAACUCAGCUGUUGGUGAGGAACACGUCUAUGGGAACAAUGCUGCUUAGCACACAUGGAUUCAUCCACCACCGGAUGGAUUCUCAUUGCAUCCAAACUCAUGGGAAUAGAAUGGAACAAUGUCAUACACACACAAGUCUGGAAGAUCUAGAAAGCACAAACACACAGCACAAGUUCCACAAAGCUUCGAUAUGACUCAUGGAAAAACACACAAUAGAUGCAUUGUUAACUCUGACUUUCACACAAACUUAACUUUCACUUGCCUUACUGACUCUAGAGGGGACUGUGACAACUGUGAUACUGUACAUAUGUAUACAGUAUAUGUACUCUGUACUUUCACUCUUAUCCGCCUGGCUUUGUAUUUUUUUGUAUCUUUGUAUUGCAACAUUCUUGCACAAUUUAUAUAUUUUUCUCAUAAAAUUCAAAAUGUCAUUUUGUCAUUGAUCAAUAUUGCGAC